rnacentral:misc_RNA from 1 species
GAGAGAACCUGCCCUUUGGGUAGAUCUCCCACCCUUUGUUUGUUAUACACUGUUGCUUUGGCGGGCCUGCCUCGGCUGCCGGCGCAAGCUGGCUCGCGCCCGCCAGAGACCAAAACUCUGAAUGUUGUCGUCUGAGAAAUAUAUAAUAAGUUA